AGUGGAAACAUCCUUCCAGGUGAGAAGAUCUAUCGUUUCUUCAUAGGGAGAAAACAAAAUAUCCUCUACACAGACAACCAUCCACUCCCCAUCUCCUAUGCAAAGAUCCAUGGUUGAUUGAAUCUGUCAAUUAAGAGCCCGAAUCGGCAGGGACUGUCAGCACUUCUCUUGGCCACCAGUAAUCAGGACCGUGGCUAAAUUAACAAAGAAGAAAUCUAGAACAAGACAGCACUGACUUCAGUUCUGGGCCUGGUGUCUGCAGUUUUUAUAACCUUGCCCUUGACAGUCAAAGGACAUCCCAUCUACACAAAAUCUUUCUCCUUGAGUCAAGAAGGAAGUGAGUCUGACAAUAACUCUUCCAAUUUACCAGAAGAGAAGCAUUUCCCAGAAACCACUAGUAAGCUGUGACUUAACUCUCUGGCUGAAACCUUGUGAUUCAGGCAUGAUUGUAUUCAGGACACUAAAACAGAUGAAGCUUUCUCAUUUUUUAAAAGACUUAUGUUAUUUCAUUUAUAUCUUCAGACACACCAGAGAAGGCAUCGGACCCCA
rnacentral:lncRNA from 1 species